rnacentral:Y_RNA from 1 species
GGCUGGUCCGAGUGCAGUGGCGUUUACAACUGAUUGAUCACAACCAGUUAUAGAUUCCUUUGUUCUUUCCCACUCCCACUGCUUCACUUGACUAGCCUAAA